rnacentral:tRNA from 1 species
AAGGGAUUAGUUAAACGUAUAAUUUAAGUUUGUCAAUCUUAAGUUGCCUUGUGUGGUAUUCCUUU